GGACUCCUCAGGUCACCUUCUCACAAUGAGGCUCCCUGCUCAGUUACUGGGGCUGCUAAUGCUCUGGCUCCCUGGAUCCAGUGGGGACAUUGUGAUGACCCAGACUCCACUCUCCCUGCCCGUCACCCCUGGAGAGCCGGCCUCCAUCUCCUGCAGGUCUAGUCAGAGCCUCCUGCAUAGUAAUGGAUACAACUAUUUGUAUUGGUACCUGCAGAAGCCGGGCCACUCUCCACAGCUCCUGAUGUAUUUUGCUUCAUACCGGGCCUCUGGAGUCCCAGACAGGUUCAGUGGCAGUGGGUCAGGCACUGAUUUCACACUAGAAAUCAGCAGGGUGGAGGCUGAGGAUAUUGGGGUUUAUUAUUGCAUGCAAACCUUCACCCUCAUAAGCAACAGCAGAAUGAGGAGGUUCAAGGACGCUGUGAGUAACAAAUUGGGACAAAAGGAAAAGGAGAAUGGAAUCUCAUCUGAAUCCUCCUUCCUUGCCUACAUUUGUUGA